CCUACGAGAGGCAGCAGUGAGGAAUAUUGGUCAAUGGGCGCGAGCCUGAACCAGCCAAGUAGCGUGAAGGAUGCCUGCCCAAUGGGUUGUAAACUUCUUUUUUAAGGGAAUAAAGUGCGGUAUGUAUACUUUUUUGCAUGUCCCUUAUGAUUAAGGUUCGGCUAACUCCGUGCCAGCAGCCGCGGUAAUACGGAGGAUCCGAGCGUUAUCCGGAUUUAUUGGGUUUAAAGGGAGCGUAGGUGGGUUGUUAAGUCAGUUGUGAAAGUUUGCGGCUCAACCGUAAAAUUGCAGUUGAUACUGGCAGCCUUGAGUACAGUAGAGGUAGGCGGAAUUCGUGGUGUAGCGGUGAAAUGCUUAGAUAUCACGAAGAACUCCGAUUGCGAAGGCAGCCUGCUGGACUGUAACUGACGCUGAUGCUCGAAAGUGUGGGUAUCAAACAGGAUUAGAUACCCGAGUAGUC
rnacentral:rRNA from 1 species